ensembl:snRNA U6 U6 spliceosomal RNA
GUGCUUGCUUCAGCAGCACAUAUUCUUAAAUUGAAACAAUGCAGAGAACAUUAGCAUGGUCUUUGCACAAGGAUGACAUAUGAAUUCAUAGUAUUCCAAAUUUUU